UUCUCUAAACAAAUUUACCAUUUUAAACCUGUUUUCAGUUUCUUGUUGUCAAAAGAUGACUACACAAAUUAAGAAAAAAAGGCAAAAUGUAAGCCCCGCCCACCGCCCCUGUCUCAAUUGUGAUGAUUUUUUUGUUCGUCGUGAGCCCAGAGGGCGGAGCUUAACUGCAAAAUCCUUAUGUCUCUACGAAAAAUGAAUAACAUAUUUUUGAGUAUCGUGUUGUUCAAAGAAUACCAUAUAUAUUAUGAAAAAAACAAGGCAAAAAUUAAGCCUCACCCAUAGCUAUCCCAAGCUUAACUGUGAUGAAUGUUUAUCAAUAAUUUUUAUUUGUUUAUCAUUUUUUGCCAUCAACAUAUCCUUAACAAACCAACGUAAAAACGCAAAAUACCCCAGAUGUCACAUAUAACCAUAUAACAAUUGACCAGUAAAGUAAGGUUAGAAUUUAGAAUGCGCGGCAGUUCAUAAUUCAAAAAUUCUACUAUGGGUUUCUUAUGGGAGCUUGAUUUUACAGACAAAAUACGCCGCAUAGGUAGAAAUCUUAACUAGUUCAUGCUACAAGCGAUAAAGACUGUACAAUUAUCUUCCUGUUACUAAAGGUUUAACUAUAUAAAAAGCUUCUGUUAAAGAUAUAUUGCAAAUUAAAAACAACGCUAUCCAUCGAAGUAACGUACAUCGUUUCUAACGUCUUGCGCAUGAGUGAAACGGAAAAUCCAGAAACACUUGGGAAAGAAAAAGAACGCGAAUAUUUUGCGGUACUAGUGACGUUUAGAUCGUGAAAAUCCCCAAAAUAUGACAGUUGAUUUCGUAUUUUCAUCACAACAAACAAUCAUAAUCACAAUUUUUGGAUGAUAUAUUAGUUCUGUGAUAUUGAUUCACAUUGGGCUGUAUGUAUCUGUGGACUGGUUUUUUUGUAUUUGUUAUUAAUAAUGACAGAAAGACAUGUGUUAACAAUAGGGGCAAUUGCCAUUUUUUUUGUUGGAGAAAAUUCUUUACAGUCAAAUAAUGUAGCGAAAGUCAAUUGGUAUACUGAAUUAAAUGUGCUUGAAGAGUUUAUUCGAGCUAGAAUGCGAGAAGAUUAUGAUAUUCCUUACGAGAGGCAACAUGUGAAACCCCAAGAGGUGCAUUUGUAUAUCAUCAUAUGGCUACACCUGCCCUACACGGACGUUAUAAUGUAUUGUGGACCAAUAAUUUGCGUGCUUGAGACGUACAUCUGAAGAAAAGUGAAUCAGCUGAGGUCCGAGCUGUUGUCUCUGAAAAUUCUUUUAAUCCCCAAGUCAGCCUAAAAACAGCUAAUGUUGAGGUACAACUUCAUGAAAGCUUAGGACAAACUGAUAGGAGCGAAGCACUGCUUUUGCUAUUGGGCCCUGAACUAGAAAGAUCUGAAGAAAAUCUACUUCACAGUGUCGAAGAACUAUUAGUGUCCGAGGAAUAUUUUAAUGGCCCAUCAAGAAAACAGUUUGUGGGUCAGUUUUUCACCAAAAGUGAAUCAGAUUUUGCAUUAGGAAGUGCAAUUUUUUAUUGUAAAAUACUUUUUUUUUGUUUUGAAAUAAAUUGUUCUUUAAAUUGUGA